UACGAAGGGGGCUAGCGUUGUUCGGAAUUACUGGGCGUAAAGCGCACGUAGGCGGAUUGUUAAGUUAGGGGUGAAAUCCCGGGGCUCAACCCCGGAACUGCCUUUAAUACUGGCAAUCUCGAGUCCGAGAGAGGUGAGUGGAAUUCCGAGUGUAGAGGUGAAAUUCGUAGAUAUUCGGAGGAACACCAGUGGCGAAGGCGGCAUCCUGGACCGGUAUUGACGCUGAGGCGCGAAAGCCAGGGGAGCAAACGGG
rnacentral:rRNA from 1 species